rnacentral:rRNA from 1 species
GACGAACGCUGGCGGCGUGCUUAACACAUGCAAGUCGAGCGGUAAGGCCUCUUCGUGGGUACACGAGCGGCGAACGGGUGAGUAACACUUGCGUGACCUUCCCUCAGCUCUGGGAUAAGCCUGAGAAACUGGGUCUAAUACCGGAUAUGACCUUUCCUCUCAUGGGGUUUGUUGGAAAGUUUUUUCGGCUGGGGAUGGGCCCGCAGCCUAUCAGCUUGUUGGUGGGGUGAUGUCCUACCAAGGCGACGACGGGUAGCCUGCCUGCUGAGACAACCGGCAACACUGGGAGGGAGGCAGGGAAGAGACUGCUACGGGAGGGAGCAGAGGGGAAUAUUGAGCAAUGGGCGGAAGGCUGACGGAGCGACGCAGCGUAAGGGAUGACGGAUUUGGAGUAAUAAAUCUCUUACGAACCCGACGAAUUUGGACGGUAGGGGUAGAAGAAGCACCGGCCAACUACGUG